rnacentral:rRNA from 1 species
UACGGAGGGUGCGAGCGUUGUCCGGAAUCACUGGGCGUAAAGGGCGCGUAGGCGGCCUGAUAAGUAGGGGGUGAAAUCCUGCGGCUUAACCGCAGGGCUGCCUUCUAAACUGUCAGGCUCGAGCACAGUAGAGGCAGGUGGAAUUCCCGGUGUAGCGGUGGAAUGCGUAGAGAUCGGGAAGAACAUCAGUAGCGAAGGCGGCUCGCGUGGGCCGUUCCUGACGCUGAGACGCGAAAGCUAGGGGAGCGAACAGG